AUCGUAUCAUUCGUUGCCACGUAUGUCGGUAUGCGAGCGAAAUGUCGAGUGUGUUUGGUGACGUGUUAAAACGCGGCCAUUUCCACCGGUCGUGAACGAGAUAGAGAGCAUGUUGCGUGAGAUAGAGAGUGUGUGAGAGAGAGAGAGAGAAAGAGAGUAUGCGUACAAAAGGAAUGGAAAGAGAGAGAAAGUUUAAAAGACAUUGAUACCUUUAUAUAAGUUCAUAACUUGGAAUUUGCAAAUUCAUCGUCAAAUCCACUGUGAUCGCGGUUUACUUCGAUGAUUUUAUUUCUGUUGCCACGCGCUUUCUUUCAAUUCUCUUCUUUUCUUCUGCUUUUUCUUCUCUUUGUACUUCUCUUAUUCUUGUGUACUAGUAACAUGAACGUUAGAAAGCGAUUGAGAGAAAAAACGAAGAUGGUCGGUUAUAAUACAUUCGGGUGCUGGAGGGUUAAUUCGAUGGGGAGUUCCUCGAAUUCCGCAUAUGGUGUAGUUAAGGAGAACAGAAAAGAGAGAUGACAAUGAGAGGAAAGCAUAACGAGGAGAUGGAUCUUUUAGUAUCGGGGACAUAUAAGUCGCGUUUAAAGUAAUUUGGACCCGCGACUGUCACGCGUGCCGGCUUAUGCCGGUUCACACCGCAUUCCGGCCAAGCUUCACGAAACGAAGGCAAAUCAUUCGAUAUCGAAAUCUUCAGAAAUAACAACAGUGAUUCAACGGUUGUUUUUUUUGGUGAUGCUCACCGGAAUUCGAAAGAAGAGAUAUGGCGAUCGAUGUGGCGAAAAGAAACGAGGAAACGUUCCGUAAUAGUGGUGUGCCGCUGGCUAACCUGCCGGCUAACCUUGUUCACCGGAAGAGACAAAACACGUGCACGCCAGCCAGAUCGCUAAUAACUGGCUUUAUGGUUAACAAAGAAGACUAUCUGAUAUCUGGAGAAACGUCGGAUCCAAUUCUACAGUGUCCGCCGGAAAAACUGAAAAGCGCGACUCGAAUGUUCUUUCCACGACAAGCACGCAGAGUUUCUCAACUCGAACACUUGUAUUCUUUUCAACGAAUAAAACGAAUUAAAACUACAAACAAAGAGUUCAUUUCACUAAUCGUAUCUGUAUGUAUAUGUGUAACAUUCAUCCGCUUCAAUAAUCAACAUUAUCGAUGCAAUCGUCUUAUCAUCGUGCAGUACUCCCUUAUAUAUUAUAUUCGCGAUCGUUCGGGAACAAUCAGUAAACUUUCGUAGCAUCCGUGAUCAUUAAAAAAAAAAAAAAAAAAAAAAAAAAAAAAAAGAAAGAAACAGUCAUCACAGAUGGACGUAUAACAAUUAUAGUAACGCAUCGUUUGUAAUCGAUUCGGUGCAACCUUGACUCGAUGGUUUCCGAAUUAUUUUCACGUAGACUGCAGACCAUCGAGCUCGACUGUGGGACAUUUGGGGGCCUCUCCACUGCUCACCGGCGCUUAAAAUUCUCCGUUUUACAGUUCACUAGCACGAUCAAUAACGCAUUUCUCGCUCAUUUGCAACUCUCGGCCGAAACCGUAUUGAAAUCGUUUUCGCUACGCGAUGAUAGUUUCGCGUUAAACGGCAAUCGAGAUCAAAGAUCGAUCGUUCGAAGAUACGAAGUACCAAAAAUUGCACAUUCGUCUCUCUCGUCACGGAAUGAAUUCUAUUGCAUCGUUACCAAGUGUGCGAGUAACUGGGCGAUACAGGUUGAGUCGGGUCGAGAAAUUCGAUUUUCGGUGACGAUCGAAGGGGUUAUCGCGGCAACGGUGUUGACUCGCCGAUCCGAAGAAAAGGAACCUCUCGCAAGCAACAUUUUCAUGGGUUUCACCGCACGCUCGCGAGCAUGAAAUCCGCGUGAUGUAGCGCUUACGGCUUUGUCGAGUCUCGCGAAAGGCGACGAGAAUGGCGGAGAAAGAGGGAGGAGGAAAAAGGAGAACAGAGGUUGCGAGCGAGCAGAGGGAGAAGGGGAAGAAAACGAAGGAGAC